rnacentral:lncRNA from 1 species
CACUUUAGGAGCACCAUUUUGGCAGCAAAGUGGAAGAUGAAUCAGAGUGGGGAGAAACUCGAGUUGCACAGAAGGCUAAUACCAGAGUCCAAAUAAGAGGUCUUGAAUUAGAGUGGUGACAGCAUGAGUGAAGAGGAGGGAAAAUAUUUGAAUGAUAUGGUGAAGGGGGAAAGAAGAUUUGGCAACAGAUGGGAUCUGUGAGUCACAGAAGUCCAGUGGCAGAACAAAAAUCAAAAUGACUGGGGAUAGCUCCAUGAUACACUGGAUGACCUUGGUGUCUUUGAUGCCUGACCAAGCUUGGUAUGAUUAUCUAGAUGACUUAGGAACAUCGGUCAAGACCUGCGUGGUGUUUAAUGGAUGUUCCCCUGAUUAUUGAUUAUAGAGCGAUGCAUCAAAAGAAAGAGAGCAGAGGUAGAAGAAAACGGCUCACAUCUGAGAAUGAGAUAUCAUGCAGUGGGUUCCCGAAGCUCUCAAAAAAUUGUUUUAUUGAUUUUUUUAUGCCACUGUCACUUUCCUAGAACCCUCCUCUGCAGAGAAACUUCACUGGUAACAAAGAAAAAGAGUUAAGUGAAACAAAUCCUCACAGUGACCAUGUUUGACAGCACAGGCAACAUUCUGUACCUGCUGUCCACCACUUCUCAACCAAUAACAGGGAAGUAUGUUUCAUCACCAAUUCUUUGAAACCAAGAUUGGUUAUUGUACUUAACCAGAACUCUGAUGUCUUUUAUCUUGUCUUUGGUUACUUUAUUGCAGAGCCCCUUUUAUAACGCCAAGCUUCUCUGAGAAAUAAAAUCUAUCUUUUCAAUAACA